CAUUUCCGCUGCGCAUGUCAUUGCGCGGGUAUUUUAAAGGUUAAGGUCGUUAACAAAACUAAACCGGAAGUCAUCCGAAUUUCUCCCGAAAUGUGUUUUUGAAUUCGGAUAUGUCAACAACAAUGAUAUAUUCACUUAAAUAUUCACUUCGAAAUGGUUGACAGUUCCAGUUGAGGUUGGCAGUUCACCAGUUGACAUCUAUGGAGUAUGCGUAUAUCAGUUCAUGGUAUUAAACAUCCAGUUCCUGGAUAUCCUGCCUGGUUCAAUGUCAUUUAUGCUGAUGAUCAGGCGGUCUAUUCUAUUCAGCUUGGUGAUGAUUAUCGAGAGGGAGAUGUAGUCAUCAAGGCUUGAUGUUAAUUUUAAUAAUGUUAAGUAUGUGAGCAAACAAGAAAUAAGCUGUUAAAUGUUUUAGUUGAUGUCCUUACUGUUCAUUGAAUUGUUGGGAAAUGUUAAUAAGUCAUCAAUGCUGGCCGAAAAGCUUGGGGCGCAGUUUUUUUUUACUUUGUUGAUAGUAAAUGCAACUAGGUGUUAGUUAUUCUCGUAGAUUUUGAGAAACGUGGCAUUAAUAUUAUUUAUUAAAGUUUGCUGUAAUAUAAUGUGUAACAGUGUUAGAAAAUAAAGCUUGAUGAAUUACUGUGGUGGAUCUGUGUUCGUGUGUCUUUUUUACUACAGUUACCCGACACAAUUUACACAAAGAAUAAAGUGCCUUAAAUAGCAAUUACUCAAUAUAGAGUGUUUAUACAUUGAAAUUACAGUAAUUUUGAGUAAUCAUUGUAUUCCUUUCAUUGAGACCUUUACGAUGGUGUAAGACAAUUGUAUUUUUAUUGGAAAAAAAUAAUUUGAUACGUAUGCACCAUAAUCUGGCAGACAAAAUUAAUGUUCGCAAAAUUUCAAAGGGCCAUAACUCUCUUCAGGUUUGGUCUAAUUUAAAACCAGUGGUACCAUUGUGUUUGUCUCAGUGAGAUCUU